CUGAGUCUGUCCAUAAGCUAGCUCAGCAGUUGAUUCGAAAAGACAGGUGCCCUCGAAGGCACAGUGAUAUCGUUAGGUACCUCUGGCCGAUUGAUUAUACAUAUAUCUUUCAGUUUAGUUCUGUUUAGAACUGUUUUCAUGUUACAUGUCUGACAAUUAGACAAGCAAGCUAAAAAUAAGACUGCUAAAUAGUACUCUAAGUGCACAUUUCUUUUUACUGUACUAAACCAAUAUCAGUCUACAGAUUUAGCUAGUAUAAUAGCCUUUUACCCAUGUGACAGGUGCCCGUUAAGGCACAGUUACAGUUGCAGGAGGAAUUUAAUUCCCUACUAUUGUAUAUACAUUUAAACUGACCGCCUGUACUUUGACUCUAUUUAGUAGCCGACAAUACUGGGAUAUAGAAGCAGUUCCACAUCAAGUUAUAUCUUCUUGUAUUACUAUUACGUUUAAACGCUCAGCAGCAUUAACAGACUUUGUAGCAUUGCCGAUAACUUAGGC